AUUCCAUGAUGUGGGCAUUUACUGUUCAACUAUUUAAAAUGUUCCCAUGCAUCAUAUAAGAACUCCCAAUCCAGUUGAUGGAAGUUAUUAAUCUCUCCUCUUAUU